rnacentral:lncRNA from 1 species
GGGCUUACCAACAUACGCCCACCCACACCAUUAGAUGCAUGUUCGCGCACACAACAUCGAAUUCAGAGCAUCAUAAUGAUCUCAUCCAUCUACUUGAUCAAGAGGAUGGGGAUUUAAUUUUGGUUAGUCAGCUUUGAGAGGUGGAAUGUGCCCCUCCCUUGUACCAUUUUGACUGCUGGACAUUCCUGCAAAGAAGAAUGAAGAAAAACAGCAUAAGGC